rnacentral:lncRNA from 1 species
CCUCGUUCCUUACUGGUAUGUACUGGUGGGGCCUUUCUGGGUUACUGGGCCAUACUGGGCCCUUACUGGUCCAUACUGGUCCCCCCCCAGGUGGGCACGUGGGCGGCCGCCCGGCGUUUCGGGGCCCUGCACGCGGCCUGGGCCCUACUGGUGGCCGGGGCGGGCGCCUGCCUCCUGCGGGCUGGUUACUGGGGCUGCCUGCGGGUCAGCCACCCCCUGCCCCGCCACGCCUGAACACGCCUGGAACACGCCUGGGACACGCCUCGGACACGCCUGGGACACGCCUCGGACACGGGACACGCGUGGCGGACGCGUGUGGGGCGUGGGACACGCGGUGGGUGGGGUGGGGGCACGUUAAGGACGUGUUUGGGGCAUGGAACAUGUUAAGGACAUGGGAACAUGUUAAGGACAUGUGUAAGUCAUGGGACAUCCUCUGGACAUGCUUGGGGCAUGGGAACAUGUUAAGGACAUGGGAUGUGCUUCGGACGUGCUUCGGUCGUGGGAACAUGUGUCGGGCGUGGGAACAUGUUAAGGACACGCUUGGGUCAUGGAACAUGUUAAGGACAUGCUUAGGUCAUGCGAGAUCCAUUGGACACGCUUCGGUCAUGGGACAUGUUAAGGACAUGCUUAGGGCAUGCAACAUCCAUUGGACAUGUGUUGGGCAUGGGAACAUGCUUCGAUCAUGGGAACAUGUUAAGGACAUGCUUCAGUCAUGGGACAUCCAUUGGACACGCUUAAGUCAUGGGACAGCCAUCAGGCAUGAUUGCAUCAUGGAACAUGUUAAGGACAUGCUUAGGUCAUGUGACAUCCAUUGGACACGCUUGAGUCAUGGGACAUGCUUCAAACAUGCUUCAGUCAUGGGAUGUCCAUGGGACACGCCUGCAUCAUGCGAGAGCCAUCGGACAUGCUUGGGUCAUGGGACAUGUUAAGGACAUGCUUAGGUCAUGCGAGAUCCAUUGGACACACUUCGAUCAUGGGAACAUGUUAAGGACAUGCUUAACUCAUGGGACAUCCAUUGGACAUGCUUCAGUCAUGGGACACGUGUUGGACAUGCUUAAGUCAUGGAACAUGCUUCAAACAUGCUUCAGUCAUGGGAUGUCCAUCGCACACGCCUGCAUCAUGCGAGAGCCAUCGGACAUGCUUGAGUCAUGGGAACAUGCUAAGGACACGCUUAGGUCAUGGGUCAUCCACUGGACAUGCUUUGGUCAUGGGAACAUGUGUCGGUCAUGGGAACAUGUUAAGGACAUGCUUAAGUCAUGGAACAUGUUAAGGACAUGCUUAAAUCAUGGGAUGCCCAUUGGGCACGGCUGCAUCAUGGGGGAGCCAUCGGACACGCUUUGGUCAUGGGAACAUGCUAAGGACAUGCUUAGGUCAUGGCACAGCCAUCAGACACCUUUGAGUCAUGGAACAUGUUAAGAACACGCUUACGUCAUGGGACAUCCAUUGAACACGCUUCAGUCACGGGAACAUGUUAAGAACACACUAAGGUCACGGGAACACCCUGCGGUCACGUGACACGCGUCGGGCACGGGAACACGCUAAGGACACGCUAAGGUCACGUGAUCAUGCUAAGGACACGCUAAGGUCACGUGGUCAUAUAACCGCCCCAUAACCGCCCCGUAACCACCCCGUAACCACCCCGUAAGGACCGACCGACCCCAUAUAGAAAAGAAUGACGUCAUUUAUUGCCAUUUUGGGUGGGUUUCAGACAUUUUUGGGUCAGCGUUGAACCCAACUCAAGACGCAAACCCAAUGGAAGGAUCUAACGGGGUCGUUAUGGGGCGAGUUAUGGGGUCGUUAUGGGGCGAGUUAUGGGGUCGUUAUGGGGUCGUUACGGGAUGACCUUAUAGGGUCAUUAUGGGACGAAUUUAUGGGGUCGUUUUGGGGUCGUUAUAGGACGACCUCAUAGUGUCAUUAUAGGAUGAGCUU